CACGCAUAUAUGUACAAUUUGCUUAUUUCAGAACCGUUGUUUUUAAAAAUUAAAAAAAAAAAACUCUUCUAUUUUACGCUUGUUUCCUUCCACUCUCACUCACCAAGUCUGCGAGACUCACCCCAAUUAAUUGUUGCCUUGUGUAGAUAAAUAGCUUUAUGGGGGGUUUUCUUGAGGGAAGUGAGUGGCUAGCGCUCGUCUAGUAGAUCAACUUGUUUGGGCAUCUAGUAGGAACCUUGACCUGAUGAGUCCAUUCCACUGGUUUGGUAUUAGUGUAAGUUGUUUUUGGUUUAUUGGCAUCUAUGUUGCCACUAUGAUGUACAAACUUUAGAUUUGUUUUGCAUGGGCUUGAACCCAGUUUGCUGGCUGUAAUAUGGCUCUAGUAAAUAGUACAUGGAUGUACUCUUGAUGGAUUAAAUGUUAAGGGCAGUUUGUUAAAACAUAUUUGAACCUAUGCUAUAAAAUGAUUUAGUUAUGUUGUAAAUCUCUACAAAUGAUUACACUUGUUUAUUGGUUUGUCCAAUUUGUUGGAG
rnacentral:lncRNA from 1 species